CAGAACAGCGUGAAUCAUGUGUGUAAAUGUACUAAAAACCACAAAAAAUAAACCUGGCCUCAGUCACAUGCUCAUCCCAUAUGAAGUAACCGCUGCUCACGUCACCCGCUCGCGUCAUCAGCUGAUGGCCUCGUCCAAUCACAGCCUCGUAAACACAGUGCAGCAGCGUCGAGUGUCCCGCAGACAGGAAGCGCGUCGUGUUUAGCUUGUCCCGUACGAGUGACUCUGUUUUCGGGGUAAAUAACUUGCUGAAGUCGACACGACGCUGUUCCCUGGAGGAGAAGAUGAGUGCGUGGGAAGCAGAGCCGCGGGCCCGGUGUGGACGAGUCGAAGCGGAGAAGACGGAAGCACAGUCCCUGAGUUAAGCCUCACUGAAUGUGUUUACAGCUGAUUGAAGCGGGACAGAUGACAUGGAUCCAUCCUUCCACAGCCAGGAGCGCACCGACCUGUGUCCCACACUUCAUAUAAGACUGGAAGCUACACUGAUCUCACAGCUACACACCACAGACGUCUACACACUGGAGAAGAGUCCCACAAAGAAGUCAUGACCCAGAGGCUGCAGAGAAACAUUUCAAGCCUCAUCUGAGUUUUUGUACAAUAUUUUUGCUGUAUGUAAAUAAAGCUUUCACUCCACAUA